rnacentral:rRNA from 1 species
CAGCCGUAAACGAUGCGCGUUAGGUGUAUCGACGACCACGAGUCGUCGAGGUGCCGAAGGGAAACCGUGAAACGUGCCGCCUGGGAAGUACGGUCGCAAGGCUGAAACUUAAAGGAAUUGGCGGGGGAGGCACCACAACAGGUGGAGCCUGCGGUUUAAUUUGGACUCAACGCCGGAAAUCUCACCGGAUAAGACAGCAGAAUGAUUGCCGGGCUGAAGACUCUGCAUGACUAGCUGAGAGGAGGUGCAUGGCGUCAGUGACU